ensembl:lncRNA
AAAUUAAGGAAUUGACACAAAACGACUUCCACAUUCCAUAAAAAUAUCAAUGAUAACAUUUAUAUUUAUUAUUUUUUAAUGAAAGCAGUUGUCUGUAUCUUUUAAAAGACAAAAACAGUCUGUGCAAGAUUUCCCACAAGGUAACCUGCGCAAUAGUGAGCAAGGCAGCGUAAACACGAGAACCACAGUGAAUGACAUCAAUAUCAAACCGACUCUAAACCUUUUUAAGUCUCCACGUGUGCUCGAUCAUCCAGGUAAGCAAAUUUUCAGGGAUCUCCAUUUUAAGGUUGCUAGUCUUGAUCUAGACUCUCUCCCUGAAUUGCCAGGGGUAAUCACAACACGUAAUCAGUUCUGGCACACAAUACAUCAACAUCAUACUUCCUUUGGUGUAUGGCUCAACACAAACCAUUGUUCCAACAAAGAAACAAAAAAGAAAGAAAGAAAAACAAAAACAUUUCUCUCAACCUUUUAACCUUUAGCUGGCUAGUGAAAAACUGAUUUAAAUCAAAGCUUUUUAACAAGUGACCAUUUUAUAAAAGACUAAUAUUGUCUCGUCUUUUAAUACAAUAACAUCAAAACCAAGAAAACUUACUCUGACCCAUGAAAACUACAAACUGUAUGAUAUCAAUAGAAUUCCACAGUGGCCUCUAAAGUGGCAACACCCAGCAAUGUGACAACCAGCCCCGGUUUCCCCACAUCUACCCUGCAAAGGAACUUCCACCCAAAUCUAAUGUAACUGGCAUCCUUAAAAUGGAUACAAGACUCAGAGUCCACAAGCACAGACACGUCCCUCAGCUUGAAAUUUGAGUGCUGAUAUUUGGACUUUGGAUUAAUCGCAUGCAUGCAGGCUUAGAGACCGAAAGAUUAACAGAAGCUAGCCACUUCACAGAAAACGUAAGGAAGACCAUUUAUAGAAAAGAAUCUUUGGUUUCUCCAAUGUCACACAUUUUUCUAUUUAAAGCAGAUUACACAACUUCCUUCUUAUACUGAAGAGAAACAUGUUCUUCUGAAGUUGUGUGAUGCCAUUACUACUAAGGGGAUCUGAAACUUCAGAGAGGGAAAUAAACCGUUUACGUCCAGCAGCAGACACAUGGCGCUCUUUGAGCCCGCUAUACCUCGGUUUUGAUUUCUGUUAGAUCAGCGACCCUAAUCAGUGAAACUUGAUCUGCCUUUACUCGCUUUGCUUCUGAAUCUUUGCUGGUAUUGCCUAAGUUUUGACACUGUCUCGACACCCUUGAAAAAAUAAUUUGCAGAAGUGGAUCUGAGAAACCGUUUGCUACGAAAUUCAAAAUUGUGAAAUUCCGAUCACAAAAUAUUAUGUGCUGGUAAUACUCGUACAGACGAAUGAGGUGCAUGUUGGUUACAGUAUAAUGACAAAAUGACAGAAGGGGAAAAUAACUAUAUAAAGAACACAAUAGUAUAUUAAGGAAAUUUGUUGCUGUUGUUCAAAAAUAUUUGGAAAUCCAUUUAAAAAUAUAGUUAUUCGGAGAAAAAGUGGACACUAAGGCACAGUUAGACAUUUUUCGAGAUUAUUGAAUAGGAAAAAAAACAUGUUUUACUCAUGCUCACUGAUUUGUGUGCAGUUACAUCUGCACAUGACAUACAUUUCAAACAUACUCAGAGUUCCUCGAACUUCUCUGAUUAGCUGUUCUGGAACUGAAAUUGCAAUCUCAGAGGUAAUAAACUCAGAGUUUAUUUUUAAAGUCGAAGUUUUCAUACUUUAAAGAAUAAAAGACAGACAGCAUCAAAUGGCUUGUUUGGUCCAAUCUUGUGAAACAGUCGAGGACAGAAACAUAAACAGUUAGUUCUCUAUAUCUAUUAUCCGUCUAUAUUUCACACAAUAUUAAGUUUGCAUUAUUUAUUAUACAGUCUUCUUAAAAUUAACACGAUGAUAAACAUAUGGAGAAAAUACUUACUCACUUUUUUUGCUGAGACUUAGAGCAAAAAAAAGUAAGUAUAAAUAUGUCUGUGAAGGUUCUCAGUCAUCCAGGUCAUCGUAGUCAAAGGAGCUUGCAAAGAAAAGCGUCUGGACUUCUUUAAGUUACUUGAAGACAUUUCACCUCUCAUCCGAGAAGCUUCUUCAGUUCUAAGGUCAAAUGGUGGAGAGUCCCAGAUAUAAACCUAGUGGGAGUUUCCCCCCACAGAGGGACAAAAGGACCCCCUGAUGAUCCUCUAAUCGCCUGAGCCAAGGUGUGAAACUGGGUGUGGGUCCCAAUCAGCCAGAGUUUCGGGUGAGUUCAUUGUGA